CUGCGAGUUCGCGGGAGAGUAAGUUAUUGCCAGGGUUUUUCUUUUAUACUUUAAACAUUGAUUUUAUUUUUUAUGUUUUUAGAUGUUUAUAUUAUUUGAAUAAAACAUUCAAAUAAUAUAAAAAAUAAAAUAUAUAUAUUGACAUGGAUUAAACAAAGAUAUAUAUUAUUCUAUGUUGUAUAAACAAAUUGGCAAAAUAGAGAUGGAAGAUAAAAAUAUGGUCAAAGUAAUAAGAGUCUAUGGUGAAUGCCUAGGA
rnacentral:misc_RNA from 1 species